GCGCUAAGAUGGCGACUCCCAUGCAUCGGCUGAUAGCCCGGAGACAAGCGUAAAGAUGGGGUUUCAUCAUCUUGGCCAGGAUUGUCCUGAAUUCCUGACCUUGUGAUCCACCUGCCUUGGCCUCCCAAAGUGUUGGGAUUACAGGUGUGAGCCACCACGCCUGGCCUAAGUGAAGCAAAUAAGCAACAUGUAAGAUGUCAGAAAUGCUUGGAAUUUGGACAUUGGACUUAUGAAUGCACAGGAAAAAGAAAAUACCUACAUAGGCCCUCAAGGACAGCAGAACUAAAGAAAGCUUUAAAAGAAAAAGAAAACAGAUUAUUAUUACAACAAAGGAGCUUUUUUCCCCCUCGUGUUUAUCAGCAUUGGAGAAACCAAUGUAGAAAGAAAGGCCAAGAAAAAAAGGUCUAAGAGUGUAACCAGUUCCAGUAGCAGUAGCAGUGACAGUUCUGCCAGUGAUUCUUCAUCAGAGAGUGAAGAAACAUCUACCUCUUCCUCCUCAGAGGACAGUGACACUGAUGAAAGCUCCUCUAGUUCCUCAUCCUCAGCCU
rnacentral:sRNA from 1 species